rnacentral:rRNA from 1 species
UACGGGGGGGCAAGCGUUGUUCGGAAUUACUGGGCGUAAAGGGUUCGUAGGCGGCCAACUAAGUCGGACGUGAAAUCCCCAGGCUCAACCUGGGAACUGCGUCCGAUACUGGAUGGCUUGAAUUCGGGAGAGGGAUGCAGAAUUCCAGGUGUAGCGGUGAAAUGCGUAGAUAUCCGGAGGAACACCGGUGGCGAAGGCGGCUUCCUGGACCGACACUGACGCUGAGGCGCGAAAGCUAGGGGAGCAAACGGG